rnacentral:rRNA from 1 species
UGAGUGGCGACGGGUGAGUAACGCGUGGGCAACCUGGCCUGUACAGGGGGAUAACACUUAGAAAUAGGUGCUAAUACCGCAUAACGGGGGAAGCCGCAUGGCUUUUCCCUGAAAACUCCGGUGGUACAGGAUGGGCCCGCGUCUGAUUAGCCAGUUGGCAGGGUAACGGCCUACCAAAGCGACGAUCAGUAGCCGGCCUGAGAGGGCGGACGGCCACACUGGGACUGAGACACGGCCCAAACUCCUACGGAAGGCAGCAG